rnacentral:rRNA from 1 species
AUUGAACGCUGGCGGCAGGCCUAACACAUGCAAGUCGAGCGAGUGGCGGACGGGUGAGUAAUGUCUGGGAAACUGCCUGAUGGCGGGGGAUCAAUUAUGGAAACGUUAGCUAAUACCGCAUACUACCAGCUGUGCCCAGAUGGGAUUAGCUAGUAGGUGGUGUAACGGCUCACCUAGGCGACGAUCCCUAGCUGGUCUGAGAGGAUGACCAGCCAAACUGGAACUGAGACACGGUCCAGACUCCUACGGGAGGCAGCAGUGGGGAAUAUUGCAAAAUGGGCGCAAGCCUGAUGCAGCCAUGCCGCGUGUAUGAAGAAGGCCUUCGGGUUGUAAAGUACUUUCAGCGGGGAGGCGUUACCCGCAGAAGAAGCACCGGCUAACUCCGUGUCAGCAGCCGCGGUAAUAC